GGCUCAUCAUCAUCAUUAAUGUUGGACUGUCCCACUGUCAUGAUGUAGAAGAGCUGCACACGUUCAGACGGCAGGAGAGGAUUUGAUCUUUGAGUUCAAGUGUGAGAAGAAAAAAAGAAAGAAAGAAAGAAAGAAACUCGUCAUCAUGAGACCAACUGCCGCUUCUGCUACUGACUUAAAGCAGAAGAUGAGUGACUGUGUGGAGGAAGAGGAGGGCAGAGCAGCGUCUGCAGUGUCCAGCCGUCUGUCCAUGAAGAGUGACCGGUCUAAAGAUCAUCCUCCAGUCUUCAGUGGUGAACCUGGAGCUCCAGACACAAAGGAAAGGAAGAGGAGUCGAGGU